AAUGAACGUUGGCGGCGUGGAUUAGGCAUGCAAGUCGAGCGAGAAGUGUAGCAAUACACGGAAAGCGGCGAAAGGGAUAGUAACACGUAGGUACCUACCCCCGGGCCUGGGAUAGCGGCGGGAAACUGCCAUUAAUACCAGAUAACGUCUCCGGACCAAAGGUGUGAUUCCGUCUGGGGAGGGGCCUGCGUCCUAUCAGCUUGUUGGUGAGGUAACGGCUCACCAAGGCUUUGACGGGUAGCGGGUGUGAGAGCGCGACCCGCAUCACUGGGGAGGAGACACUGCCCAGGCACCUACGGGUGGCGGCAGUCGAGAAUCUUCCGCAAUGGGCGCAAGCCUGACGGAGCGACGCCGCGUGCGGGAUGAAGGCCUUCGGGUUGUAAACCGCUGUCAGUGGGGAGGAAAUGUAUGGGGGUUCUCCCCCAUAUUUGACCGAUCCGCAGAGGAAGCACAGGCUAAGUUCGUGCCAGCAGCCGCGGUAA
rnacentral:rRNA from 1 species